rnacentral:rRNA from 1 species
CACGUGAGCAACCUGGCUCUAAGAGGGGGACAACAGUUGGAAACGACUGCUAAUACCGCAUAACGUAUCGGGAUGGCAUCUUCCUGAUACCAAAGAUUUUAUCGCUUAGAGAUGGGCUCGCGUCUGAUUAGAUAGUUGGCGGGGUAACGGCCCACCAAGUCGACGAUCAGUAGCCGGACUGAGAGGUUGAACGGCCACAUUGGGACUGAGACACGGCCCAGACUCCUACGGGAGGCAGCAGUGGGGGAUAUUGGACAAUGGGGGCAACCCUGAUCCAGCGACGCCGCGUGAGGGAAGAAGGUUUUCGGAUUGUAAACCUCUGUUGACGGAGAAAAAAAUGAUGGUAUCCGUUUAGAAAGCCACGGCUAACUACGUGCCAGCAGCCGCGGUAAUACGUAGGUGGCAAGCGUUGUCCGGAAUUACUGGGUGUAAAGGGAGUGUAGGCGGGAUAUCAAGUCA